CAGCCGUAAACUAUGCGCGUUAGGUGUACUGGUGACCACGAGUCACCGGGGUGCCGAAGGGAAACCGUGAAACGUGCCGCCUGGGAAGUACGGUCGCAAGGCUGAAACUUAAAGGAAUUGGCGGGGGAGGCACAACAACGGGUGGAGCCUGCGGUUUAAUUGGACUCAACGCCGGACAACUCACCGGGGACGACAGCAAUAUGUAGGCCAGGCUGAAGACCUUGCCUGAAUCGCUGAGAGGAGGUGCAUGGCGUAGACGUCU
rnacentral:rRNA from 1 species